AUUGAACGCUGGCGGCAGGCCUAACACAUGCAAGUCGAGCGGAUGAAGGGAGCUUGCUCCUGGAUUCAGCGGCGGACGGGUGAGUAAUGCCUAUGAAUCUGCCUGGUAGUGGGGGAUAACGUCCGGAAACGGGCGCUAAUACCGCAUACGUCCUGAGGGAGAAAGUGGGGGAUCUUCGGACCUCACGCUAUCAGAUGAGCCUAGGUCGGAUUAGCUAGUUGGUGGGUUAAAGGCCUACCAAGGCGACGAUCCGUAACUGGUCUGAGAGGAUGAUCAGUCACACUGGAACUGAGACACGGUCCAGAGUCCUACGGGAGGCAGCAGGGGGGAAUAUUGGACAAUGGGCGAAAGCCUGAUCCAGCCAUGCCGCGUGUGUGAAGAAGGUCUUCGGAUUGUAAAGCACGUUAAGUUGGGAGGAAGGGCAGUAAGUUAAUACCUUGCUGUUUUGACGGUACCAACAGAAUAAGCACCGGCUAACUUCGUG
rnacentral:rRNA from 1 species